UGACUCACUUAACAGCAAAACAGCAGUAGUUGUGUGCUGUUAGACCUUGCAGCCAGCCAUGUAGGGGCUUGCCUUGCAGAAUAAAGUGACUAAAGUGACUAGAGCAGCUGCACCACAGAU